CUUGUACUCCCUCCGUCGAAAAUACUUGUCAUUGAAAUGGAUGUAUCUAGACAUAUUUUAGUUCUAGACACAUCCAUUUUGAUGACAAGUAAUUCCGGACGGAGGGAGUACUUG
rfam:Triticum aestivum genome assembly, contig: Triticum_aestivum_CS42_TGACv1_scaffold_049534_1BS